rnacentral:rRNA from 1 species
UACGUAGGGUGCGAGCGUUAAUCGGAAUUACUGGGCGUAAAGCGUGCGCAGGCGGUUUUGUAAGCCAGGUGUGAAAUCCCCGGGCUCAACCUGGGAAUGGCAUUUGGGACUGCAAGGCUGGAGUGCGGCAGAGGAGACUGGAAUUCCUGGUGUAGCAGUGAAAUGCGUAGAUAUUCGGAAGAACACCAGUGGCGAAGGCGACACACUGGGCCAUUACUGACGCUGAGGCGCGAAAGCGUGGGGAGCAAACAGG